CCUGACUAGUCUCCCAGUCCCUGCCACUGAAAAACAUCCUCGUAACAUGAUGCUGCCACCACCAUGCUUCACCGUUGGGAUGGUGCCAGGUUUCCUCCAGACGUGACGCUUGGCAUUCAGGCAAAGAGUUCAAUCUUGGUUUCAUCAGACCAGAGAAUCUUGAUUCUCAUUGUCUGAGAGUCUUUAGGUGCCUUUUGGCAAACUCCAAAGCGGGCUCUCGUGCCUUUUACUAAGGAGUGGCUUCCGUCUGGCCAAUCUAUCAUAAAGGCCUGAUUGGUGGAGUGCUGCUGAGAUAUUUGUCCUUCUGGAAGUUUCUCCCAUCUCCACAGAGGAACUGUAGAGCUCUGUCAGAGUGGCCAUCGGGUUCUUGGUCACCCUGACCAAGGCCCUUCUCCCCCGAUUGCUCAGUUUGGCUGGGCAGCCAGCUCUAGGAAGAGUCUUAGUGGUUCCAAACGUCUUCCAUUUAAGAAUGAUGAAGAAGAACUGUUUAUUUUAUAUUACAUCAGCAGUCGUCACAAAGUUCUUAACAGAUACCUAUAGGGCUUUGGUCAAAGUAAUGCAUUAUAAAGGAAUGCGAUUUAGUACACAGCCUGAGACUGCAGCAGUGUACAGAAUCUCUCGGAGGAAGUGCAGUAAUGAGACUACUGGCUGCUCUGGUAGGACCCCUAGAGAGAGGAGGAAUGUGGAGAGACACUGUGAUGGCAGAACCAUGCAGAGACAGGGGAGGAGAUUUAGAAUCCUGUUUGACCAAGACAGCGGUGUGUGUGUUUACCAGCAGGUGACCAAGCCUCAGUGUGUGUGUUCACUGUAACGCCAUAAGUGAUAGUUGGUCAGGGUCUGGAUGAGUGGCAGUUUGUAUUUGUAUUUAUUAUGGAUCCCCAUUAGCUGUUGCCAAGGCAACAGCUACUCUUCCUGGGGUGCAAACACAUUAAGACACUUACAUUAGAUAUAAAACAAAAGAGAAAACAGUACAUCAUGUAACAUUAUUACACCACUACAUAUCUACACUACAAAAUGUAUAAUACCACCUUACAACAAUAUUACAAUGUAUGUGUGUGUAGAGUGCGUGUGCUAGGGUAUGUGUACAUAUGUGUGUGUGUGUGUUCCUAUGUGUGUAUCUAUUCACAGUCCCUGCUGUUCCAAAAGGUAUAUUUUUAUCAGCUUCUUUAAAUCUGAUUCUACUGCUUGCAUCACUUACCUGAUGUGGAAUAGAGUUCCAUGUAGUCAUGGCUCUAUGUAAUUGGUGUUGUACUGUGCUGUACUGUAUGUGUCUGCCUGGUUCUCAUUGUCUGUGAAUCUUGCUUUAGGCUCAUCUGUCGGAGCUGAAGUAUGUUGUUUUGGUACCCCAACUUGACCACAUUCAAUUUAAAACUAGUAACCAGGUUCCCAAUAAAUAUUACAAAACAUUCUUUCCGAGUAGUGAAACAGGUGAGGUUUUCUACCAGGAAUCCUUUAACCAGAUUUAAAUAAGAAAUAAAAGAUAACCGUUAUGGCUAUCUCACUCCAGAGUGGGUGUCUGCCUGCCUGACUGCCUUCAGCAAUGUAGGGAGGGAGGGGGUAAAUGGAGGAGUGAAGGAAAAGAAGGAGAGAUGGAGAGAGAGAAUGAGACUUCCUGUGUGAGUAGCGAUGGAGGGAUGAGGUAAAUGGAGGAGUGAAGGAAAAGAAGGAGAGAUGGAGAGAGAGAAUGAGACUUCCUGUGUGAGUAGCGAUGGAGGGAUGAGGUAAAUGGAGGAGUGAAGGAAAAGAAGGAGAGAUGGAGAGAGAGAAUGAGACUUCCUGUGUGAGUAGCGAUGGAGGGAUGAGGUAAAUGGAGGAGUGAAGGAAAAGAAGGAGAGAUGGAGAGAGAGAAUGAGACUUCCUGUGUGUGUAGUGAUGGAGGGAUGAGGUAAAUGGAGGAAUGAAGGAAAAGAAGGAGAGAUGGAGAGAGAGAAUGAGACUUCCUGUGUGUGUAGUGAUGGAGGGAUGAGGUAAAUGGAGGAAUGAAGGAAAAUAAGGAGAGAUGGAGAGAGAGAAUGAGACUUCCUGUGUGUGUAGUGAUGGAGGGAUGAGGUAAAUGGAGGAGUGAAGGAAAAGAAGGAGACAUGGAGAGAGAGAAUGAGACUUCCUGUGUGUGUAGUGAUGGAGGGAUGAGGUAAAUGGAGGAGUGAAGGAAAAGAAGGAGACAUGGAGAGAGAGAAUGAGACUUCCUGUGUGUGUAGUGAUGGAGGGAUGAGGUAAAUGGAGGAGUGAAGGAAAAGAAGGAGACAUGGAGAGAGAGAAUGAGACUUCCUGUGUGUGUAGUGAUGGAGGGAUGAGGUAAAUGGAGGAAUGAAGGAAAAGAAGGAGACAUGGAGAGAGAGAAUGAGACUUCCUGUGUGUGUAGUGAUGGAGGGAUGAGGUAAAUGGAGGAGUGAAGGAAAAGAAGGAGAGAUGGAGAGAGAGAAUGAGACUUCCUGUGUGUGUAGUGAUGGAGGGAUGAGGUAAAUGGAGGAAUGAAGGAAAAGAAGGAGACAUGGAGAGAGAGAAUGAGACUUCCUGUGUGUGUAGUGAUGGAGGGAUGAGGUAAAUGGAGGAGUGAAGGAAAAGAAGGAGACAUGGAGAGAGAGAAUGAGACUUCCUGUGUGUGUAGUGAUGGAGGGAUGAGGUAAAUGGAGGAGUGAAGGAAAAGAAGGAGACAUGGAGAGAGAGAAUGAGACUUCCUGUGUGUGUAGUGAUGGAGGGAUGAGGUAAAUGGAGGAGUGAAGGAAAAGAAGGAGACAUGGAGAGAGAGAAUGAGACUUCCUGUGUGUGUAGUGAUGGAGGGAUGAGGUAAAUGGAGGACUAGUGAAGGCUGGCCAAGAACAUCUCCUACAGAUGAUUAGCAGAGGUGUUGACAUUCCUUCUUCCUCUGCCACAGCCAGCAGACCUUAUUAUCCCUGUGGCUCACCAUUCUACUCAGGAAGGCACAGAAGAAUUUAUAAAACAAACACUCUGCUCAGUGUGUGUGUGUGUGUGUGUGUGUGUGUGUGUGUGUGUGUGUGUGUGUGUGUGUGUGUGUGUGUGUGUGUGUGUGUGUGUGUGUGUGUGUGUGUGUGUGUGUGUGUGUGUGUGUGUGUGUGUGUGUGUGUGUGUGUGUGUGUGUGUGUGUGUGUGCGCAGUGUAUGACUGUAGCCUGGAAUAUUGCCCCUGAUAUACUCCUGACAGUGAUUUAUUUAGACACAUACAUGAUGUAAAUCACUGUUUGGACUGGGAACAUGUCAGAGUUGCAGACUUCACUUGGAUCAUUUUUCAGGGACUUUUAUCUGUCCUUCAUCUGAGCAGGGUUUAGAGUGUCUUUUCUAUUUCGUGGCAGUGGUGUGACUACUUCAGAGGAACAUAUCUAAAGCCAGACACAUUAGCAAACAUAUUGUUGUAGCUAUGGUGACAGUAAAAUGAAUGUAUUAGACAUAAAGUCCAUUAGUGUCACCUGAAAAUGCAUUUCCGGGUGAAUACCUCAUGAAGCUGGUUGAAAGAAUGUCAAGAUUGUGCAAAGCUGUCAUCAAGGUAAAUGGUGGCUACUUUGAAUAAUCUCUAAUAUAAAAUAUGUUUUAAUUUUUUUAACACUUUUUUUGCUUACUACAUUAACUCCAUAUGUGUUAUUUAAUAGUUUUGAUGUCUUCACUAUUAUUCUACAAUGUAG